rnacentral:ncRNA from 1 species
GCAGGCCUUGCGGGAGAGAUGUCGAUCGCCGACACGCCGACGGAGCAACCCCCCAGGAAACUCUCAGGCAGAAAGACCGUCAGGCUGAA